GAUGAACGCUGGCGGCGUGCCUAAUACAUGCAAGUCGAGCGAACAGAUAAGGAGCUUGCUCCUUUGACGUUAGCGGCGGACGGGUGAGUAACACGUGGGUAACCUACCUAUAAGGCUGGAAUAACUCCGGGAAACCGGGGCUAAUGCCGGAUAACAUUUAGAACCGCAUGGUUCUAAAGUGAAAGAUGGUUUUGCUAUCACUUAUAGAUGGACCCGCGCCGUAUUAGCUAGUUGGUAAGGUAACGGCUUACCAAGGCAACGAUACGUAGCCGACCUGAGAGGGUGAUCGGCCACACUGGAACUGAGACACGGUCCAGACUCCUACGGGAGGCAGCAGUAGGGAAUCUUCCGCAAUGGGCGAAAGCCUGACGGAGCAACGCCGCGUGAGUGAUGAAGGUCUUCGGAUCGUAAAACUCUGUUAUUAGGGAAGAACAAAUGUGUAAGUAACUGUGCACGUCUUGACGGUACCUAAUCAGAAAGCCACGGCUAACUACGUG
rnacentral:rRNA from 1 species